GUAAGAGUAUUUUCUAAUUUUAAAGUCUACUUAAUGAGCUUAAUUGCUUCAGUAACCACUUUUGAUCAAAAUUAUUUAAGUAGGAGAAUAAAUCACUAAAAAUUACAUUCAAACUUUAUACACUUGUCACUCUGCUGAGUCACAAGCAUUGUUUAAAUUGUCUAUUUUUCAUUUUAUUAGAAAUUCCCCAAGAAGAGAGGAGAUAAUGGGAAGAUAAUAGCAGGUUGUGUUUACUGGCUUUGAUUGACAAAGACUCACCAAGAAAAUGCCAGCAACCAUUUGGAAAAGCAAAUUGGCAAAAAUAAUACUUGGUCAUGCUCUGAGGCUGGCAAUUGAACUUUUUCUUCAAACUGUACUUAGUAUUCAAUCAACAUUCACCACACUGCUGUAUCCUUGGGAAUGCAGAGGCAAUCGAGAAAGUGCAGCUGGAGAAAAUCAUGACUCAGAUGCUACUUUGAUGACAGUCAUUAUUAUUUUUGCAUAUCUCAUGAAGGCAUCCCAUGUUAGCACUCUUUCUAUGUGUAAUAUUUGUCACAAACAGCAUGUAAAUUUUAAUUUGUGUAUUUUCUAUCAUUAAAUCAUGCUAAAAGUCACCAUAGCAAUUUCACAAACAAAUUAUGAUAGUUCUGAGCCCAUCAGGCUUACAUUAAGGCAAAAGUUUGAAGAUUUUUUUUUUCCUGUUUUGCUGAGCGUCUAAGAGUUGUCUCCAGUUGUGCAUGAAUGGACACCCGGAGGUAAAACUGGAGCUUUGGUGUGCUGAGACCAGAUAAGGUGAGGCUGGGUUAUAAAGCUUCAGUCUCCAGAGUCCACAUACCAUGAUAGGGUUAGUCUUUCUCCUAGGAUGGUGCAGCGGAAGAUCAGCACACAUUCAAAGGCAGGGCAUGGAAACAUUAGUCUAGAAUAUUCUCUGCCAUGUCCUUGGAUCAUGGGGAUCAUGGGGAUCCCCUUAUUAGCAGGGACUGAUUGGUUUCCAUCAUUGCCAAACCAUCCUGCUCGCCUCACUGGCUAUUUCCAUUCUCAGACCACAUGCUUUCUUUUUUCAAAGUUUCUUUUUGACUACUUCUUUAAUAAAAUUUUAUGGAAAUCUUUAUUGAGAUAUAAAUUAUAUAAUAAAAAUUCACAUUUGAAAUGUAAAAUUCAAUGUUUUUCAAUGUAGUUACAGACUAGAGAAACUAGCACAAUUUUAGAAUAUUGCUGUCACCCUUGAAAAACUCCAUAUCAAUUAAUAGUUCCUCCUCUCCUAAAUCCUUGGAUACCACCAAUCUACUUUCUGUUUCUAGUGAUUUUCCAGUUCUAAAUAUUUAACCUAAUUGCAAACAUUCAGUAUGUGAUCUUUUCAACUGCCUUCUUUUAUCUAGCAG
rnacentral:lncRNA from 1 species